UACCAGCACCCCGAGUGGUCGGGACGAUUAUUGGGCCUAAAGCAUCCGUAGCCGGUUUUACAAGUCCUCCGUUAAAUCCAGCUGCUUAACAGAUGGGCUGCGGAGGAUACUAUAAGACUAGGAGGCAGGAGAGGCAAGCGGUACUCAGUGGGUAGGGGUAAAAUCCGUUGAUCCAUUGAAGACCACCAGUGGCGAAGGCGGCUUGCCAGAAUGCGCUCAACGGUGAGGGAUGAAAGCUGGGGGAGCAAACCGG
rnacentral:rRNA from 1 species